rnacentral:rRNA from 1 species
GACGAACCGUACAAACGUUAUUCGGUGUCACUGGGCUUAAAGGGUGCGUAGGCGGCGGAGAAAGUUAGGUGUGAAAUCCCUCGGCUCAACCGAGGAAUGGCGCGUAAAACUACUUCGCUCGAGGAAGAUAGAGGUGAGCGGAACUUACGGUGGAGCGGUGAAAUGCGUUGAUAUCGUAGGGAACACCAGUUGUGAAAGCGGCUCACUGGGUCUUUUCUGACGCUGAGGCACGUAAGCUAGGGUAGCGAACUUG